rnacentral:tRNA from 1 species
GGGGAUUUAGCUCGGUGGUAGAAUGCUUGCCUAGCAUGCAAGAGACCUGGGUUCAAGCCCCAGCACCACUA